AGGGGCGUGGUGAAAUGGCAUCAUUACUGUCUCCAAAACAGUCGUUCCAGGUCCGAAUCCUGGCGCCCCUG
rnacentral:tRNA from 2 species